UACGUAGGGGGCAAGCGUUGUCCGGAAUUAUUGGGCGUAAAGAGCGUGUAGGCGGUCCGGUAAGUCAGCUGUGAAAGUCAAGGGCUCAACCCUUGAAUGCCGGUUGAUACUGUCGGGCUAGAGUCCGGAAGAGGCGAGUGGAAUUCCCGGUGUAGCGGUGAAAUGCGCAGAUAUCGGGAGGAACACCAAUGGCGAAGGCAGCUCGCUGGGACGGUACUGACGCUGAGAGACGAAAGCUAGGGGAGCAAAUGGG
rnacentral:rRNA from 1 species